UACAGAGGGGGCAAGCGUUGUUCGGAAUUACUGGGCGUAAAGGGCGCGUAGGCGGCGUGCUAAGUCGAACGUGAAAUCCCCGGGCUCAACCCGGGAACUGCGUCCGAGACUGGCAGGCUUGAAUCCGGGAGAGGGAUGUGGAAUUCCAGGUGUAGCGGUGAAAUGCGUAGAUAUCAGGAGGAACACCAAUGGCGAAGGCAGCUCGCUGGGACGUGACUGACGCUGAGACGCGAAAGCGUGGGGAGCAAACAGG
rnacentral:rRNA from 1 species